GCCGGGCAUGAUGGCUCAUGCCUGUAAUCCCAGCACUUUGGGAGGCUGAGGUGGGUGGAUCACCUGAGGUCAGGAGUUCGAGACCAGCCUGACCAACAUGGUGAAACCCUGUCUCCA
rnacentral:SRP_RNA from 1 species